GAUGAACGCUAGCGGCAGGCCUAAUACAUGCAAGACGAACGGUAAGUUGAGUAGCAAUACUUGACCUAGAGUGUCGCACGGGUGCGUAACACGUAUGCAACCUACCCAUAACAGGAGGAUAGCUCCCCGAAAGGGGAAUUAACCCUCCAUAGUAUAAUUGGAUGGCAUCAUUUGAUUAUUAAAACUGAGGUGGUUAUGGAUGGGCAUGCGUCUGAUUAGUUAGUUGGCGGUGUAACGGACCACCAAGACGAUGAUCAGUAGGGGAACUGAGAGGUUGAUCCCCCACACUGGCACUGAGAUACGGGCCAGACUCCUACGGGAGGCAGCAGUAGGGAAUAUUGGUCAAUGGAUGGAAGUCUGAACCAGCCAUGCCGCGUGCAGGAAGAAGGCCUUAUGGGUUGUAAACUGCUUUUGCCAGGGGAUUAAAUAGCUGUGCGCAGCGAAUUGCAGGUACCUGGUGAAUAAGCCACGGCUAACUACGUGCCAGCAGCCGCGGUAAUGCGUAGGUGGCAAGCGUUGUCCGGAUUUAUUGGGUUUAAAGGGUGCGUAGGCGGCCCUGUAAGUCAGUGGUGAAAUACUCCAGCUUAACUGGAGGGGUGCCAUUGAUACUGCAGGGCUUGAGUAAAGUUGAAGUUGGCGGAAUUGACGGUGUAGCGGUGAAAUGCUUAGAUAUCGUCAAGAACACCGAUAGUGAAGACAGCUAACUAAGCUUUAACUGACGCUGAGGCACGAAAGUGUGGGGAUCAAACAGGAUUAGAUACCCUGGUAGUCCACACUGUAAACGUUGAUGACUCGCUGUUGGCGAUACACAGCCAGCGGCCAAGCGCAAGCGAUAAGUCAUCCACCUGGGGAGUACGCCGGCAACGGUG
rnacentral:rRNA from 1 species